UACAGAGGGUGCAAGCGUUAAUCGGAAUUACUGGGCGUAAAGGGCGAGCAGGUGGCACUACAAGUCUGAUGUAAAAUCUCCCGGCUUAACUGGGAGGGGCCAUUGGAAACUGUAGAGCUGGAGUGCAGGAGAGGCUAACGGAAUUCCCGGUGUAGUGGUGAAAUGCGUAGAGAUCGGGAGGAACACCGGUGGCGAAAGGGCGG
rnacentral:rRNA from 1 species